UCAAAUGAGGAAAGGCUUAUGAUAGAUACCCAGGCACCCAGAGAUGAGGAAGGGCGUAGUAAUCAAUGAAAUGCUUCCGGGAGUUAAAAAUAAGAAUAGAUCUAGAGAUUCCCAAAUAGGGAAACCUUUCAAACUGCUGCUGAAUCCAUGGGCAAGAAAGAGACAACCUGGCGAACUGAAAUAUCUUAGUAGCCAGAGGAAAAGAAAACAAAAGUGAUUCCCGUAGUAGUGGUGAGCGAAAUGGGAGCAGCCUAAACCAUGAAAAUGGGUUGUGAGAAAGCAAUACAAGCAUUGUGCUGCUAGGUGAAUCAACCUUAAUGUUGCACCCUAGAUGGAAAAAUUCCAGUAGCCAAAAGUAUCACUAGCUUAUGCUCUGACCCGAGUAGCAUGGGGCAUGUGGAAUCCCGUGUGAAUCAGAAAAGACCACCUUGCAAGGCCUUAAAAUUAAAAAAGAGGGGUCAAAGUCGUCUAGUGAGAUGAUAGGGGAUAAGCNCCCUUGAAAGAGUGCGUAAUAGCUCACUAAUCGAGCGCUCUUGCACCGAAAAUAAACAGGGCUAAGCAAUCUGCCGAAGCUGUGGAGUGUAAAAAUACAUCGGUAGGGGAGCGUUCCACCUUAGAGGGAAGCCUCUGCAUGAAUGGUGGUGGACGAAGUGGAAGCGAGAAUGUCGGAUUGAGUAACGCAAACAUUGGUGAAAAUCCAAUGCCCUGAAAUCCUAAGGGUUCCUCCGCAAGGUUCGUCCACGGAGGGUGCAUUAGGGCCUAAGAUCAGGCCGAAAGGCAUAGUCAAUGGACAACAGGUGAAUUUUCCUGUACUAACCCUUGUUGGUCCCGAGGGAUGGAGGAGGCUAGGUUAGCCAAAAGAUGGUUAUUAGUUCAAGAACGUAAGGUGUCCCUACCCUUUUUUCAGGGUAAGAAGGGGUAGAGAAAAUGCCUCAAGCCAAUGUUCAAAUACCAGGCGCUACGGCGCUGAAGUAACCCAUGCCAUAGUCCCAGGAAAAGCUCGAACGAAUUUGAGAAAGAGGAUACCUAUACCCAAAACCAACACAGGUGGGUAGGUAGAGAAUACCUAGGGGAGCGAGACAACUCUCUCUAAGGAACUCGGCAAAAUAGCCCCAUAAGUUUGGGAGAAGGGGUGCCUCUUCACAUCACAAAGGGGGUCACAGUACCAGGCCCGGGUGACUGUACCAAAAACACAGGUCUCCACAAAGUAGUAAGACCAUAUAUGGGGGCUGACACCUAUCCUGUGCCGGAAGGUCAAAGAAGUUGGUGACCUGAUGACAGGGGAGCUGGCGAUCGAAGUCCCGGUGAAUGGCAAUCGUAACUAUAAUGGUCCUAAGGUAUCAAAAUUCCUUAUCGGCUAAGUUUUGACCCGCACGACUGGUGUAACAAUCUGGAAUUGUCUUGGAGAGAGGCUCAAUAAAAUAGACAUGUCUAUGAAGAUACGGACUACCUAUACCUGGACAGAAAGACCCGAUGAAGCUUCACUAUUCCUUGGAAUUGGCUUUAGGCCUUUCUUGCGUAGCUUAGGUGGAAGUAGAAGAAGGCCUCCUUCUAGGGGGCCCGAGCCAUCACUGAGAUACCACUCUGGAAGGGCUAGAAUUCUAACCUUGUGUCAGGACCUACGGACCAAAGGACAAUCUCAAGUAGACAGUUUCUAUGGGGCAUAGGCCUCCCAAAAGGUAAUGGAGGCAUGUAAAGGUUUCCUCAGGCCAUACGGAGAUUGACCCUCGAGUACAAAGGCAGAAGGGAUCUUGACUGCAAGACCUACCCAUCGAGUAGGGCCAAAAGCCAACCUUAGUGAUCCGAUGGUGCCGAGUGGAAGGGCCAUCGUUCAAUGGAUAAAAGUUAAUCUAGGGAUAACAGGAUAAUCUUCCUCAAGAGCUCACAUCGACGGGAAGGUUUGGCACCUUGAUGUCGGCUCUUCGCCACCUAGGGUUGUAGUAUGUUCCAAGGGUUGGGCUGUUUGCCCAUUAAAGCGGCACGUGAGCUGGGUUUAGAACAUCGUAAGACAGUUUGGUCCAUAUCCAGUGUGAACGUUAGAGCAUUGAGAGAACCUUUCCCUAGCAUGAGAGGACUAGAAAGGACGCACCUCUGGUGUACCAAUUAUCGUGCCCACAAUAAAUGCUGGGUAGCCAAAUGCGGAGCGGAUAACUUCUGUAAGCAUCUAAGUGGUAAGCCCACCCCAAGAUGAGUUCUCUCCUAUUCCGACUUUCCCAGAGCUUCCGAUAGCAUAGCCGAGACAGCGACGGGUUCUCUACCCCUGUGGGGAUGGAACGACAAAAUUUUUUUUGAGAAUUCAAGAGAAAGUCAUGGCGACACAAGCCAUUUGUCAUUACGAUAGGUGUCAAGUGGAAGUCCAGUGAUGUAUGCAGCUAAGGCAUCCUAACAGACUGGUAGACUUGAAU
rnacentral:rRNA from 1 species